GACGAACCGAGCGAACGUUGUUCGGAAUCACUGGGCUUAAAGGGCGCGUAGGCGGGGUCAUAAGUCUGUGGUGAAAUCCUCCGGCUCAACCGGAGAACUGCCUCGGAUACUGUGGCUCUCGAGGGUGGUAGGGGUAUGCGGAACUAUCGGUGGAGCGGUGAAAUGCGUUGAUAUCGAUAGGAACUCCGGUGGCGAAGGCGGCACGCUGGACCCCCACUGACGCUGAGGCGCGAAAGCCAGGGGAGCGAACGGG
rnacentral:rRNA from 1 species